rnacentral:lncRNA from 1 species
CAAUAUUGCCUUUUAAAGCUUCGUGUAUAAACCUGUCUUUCCCAGGAGGAAGUUUCCAGCUUCAUAUCCUCCAAGGCUGAGGCCAGGUGUGAGGCUCUGUCUCCUACCAGCAGGUGAAAUAGAAGCUGUGUGCAUUACAACAACCAAGUUGCAUUCUGGGAAACGGAAGGCAUCAUGUGGUGAAUUGGCACUCACAGUUUCAGGCCUCAAUAACUUCAGGUGCAGCUCCACGGAGGUACGUGCCAUUUUUGCCGGAAAUCCUACUGUGAAAGGGGCAAAUCUGACAUUUAUCUACACAAGGCUUCAUUCUGAAUUGGGACCUCUAAGAGUUUACCCCAGGAGUGUGGAAAUAGGUAUAGGUCAGUAGUCUCUUCUACAUGUUUAUUCUUCUCCGAUUCUAGGGUGAAUUCUAGAGUUGCUUUUCCAAGAGGGUUGGUUGUACUGAAGAGAGGUUAUAGCUGUCCUCUUUUUACAUUAUCCUUGAUAAGCACAUCUGGAAAACCUUUAAAAAGAGAAGUCGUUAGCCUGAGAAAACAAGGAGACAAAGAGGGGUUA